UACGUAGGGAGCAAGCGUUGUCCGGAAUCAUUGGGCGUAAAGGGCGCGUAGGUGGCGACCCAAGUCUGUGGUGAAAGCUCGACGCUCAACGUCGAGUCGGCCAUAGAUACUGGGUUGCUUGAGCACUGUAGAGGCAGAUGGAAUUCCGGGUGUAGCGGUGGAAUGCGUAGAGAUCGGGAAGAACAUCAGUGGCGAAGGCGGCCUGCUGGGCUGUUGCUGACGCUGAGGCGCGACAGCGUGGGGAGCAAACAGG
rnacentral:rRNA from 1 species